AGAGCACGCGUUUCAGAAACAAAACAACGAGCGUCUAUAUGACAUCGCGCACCAUUGGCUGUAGGGUACGUCACAAUAGAAUAGUAUGCAUUAUUCAUGAUAAACAAACCGGCGAAUGUGUCAAGCACGAGUGAGCGGCCGCAUGCCUUCCCGAAUGACAACAAACACAGAGUAAAUUGAUCAGCCCAACAGACAACAUACUGCAGCAUUCAAUACAAGGCGGUAACAUCCUUCCUAUUCCCGAAGUAAAGGACAACAUAUUUUUAUCAUCAAUUCUAGGCAUUAAUAACCAUCAUCUGAUCUCCCAUUUCAGGCCAUUUUGGGGGAGAAUUUGCUGGGAUUCGGACGUCAACAUGGCACCGCAGACGAGUGAUAGUGACAAUAAUGUAUCAGCGGAGGAGAUGAUGGCUAAAGAUUGUGUUUGGAUCUUCGGCUAUGGCUCCCUGAUAUGGCAUCCCAACUUUGAAUACACGGAGAAAAAGAUUGGCUACGUCAAAGGAUAUGUGACUAGGUUCUGGCAAGGCAGUAUAUCACAUCGAGGUACACCAGAUAAGCCUGGGAGAGUAGCGACAAUGGUUGAGCAGAAAGAGGGUCAAGCAUGGGGUGUGGUGUUCAAGUUAGAAGGAAGUGAACAGAUCACCAAGGCAUUCCUACAUCUCAACAUGCGGGAGUGUCUUCUAGGCUGUUAUCAGGUCCAACAAGUUACCUUCAACAUCGUCGGUGACAAGGACCAGUCCACGGUGCAAGCCAUCGCGUUCCGAGCCACACCCGACAACGAGCUCUUUGUUGGACCAGACUCCGUCGAGACUGCGGCGAGGAUUGUCGCAUCUUCCUGGGGCAGAACCGGACACAAUGCUGAAUACUUGUUCCGCCUUGUUGAUUUCAUGCAUAAGACAGUACCCGAUGCCAAGGAUAGGUACUUAUUUGAACUCGAGAAGCUUACACAGAAGUUUCUAAACUGCAAAUGUUCAUCAAAGAAAAGUAUCUCAAAGACCAGUAUACGCCAUAAAGGUUCUAAAGUGAUUGCUCCUAGGACCAGAAGGUCAGACCAACUGCAAUAUUAUCACAAGUGUUACCUCAGUGUCUUGCCAUUGGACCAAAGUGUUCAUUAAUGAAUCUUGUACUUUAUCUUUGUGUCAGCUGUGAGUUGAAACCAUAGAUAUCUAUUAAAAAAGAGAAAUAUAUAAGAAAAAAAAAAACAAUAUGAAAUAUGGGAGCCUUACUGUCCUUUGAAAAUAUAUUCUAUUUAUAAAUCAUAUGCUCCGUCUUGCCCAGUAAGGCAUAGCUGGUAUAAAAAGAAAUAGGUAUUUGGAUUAUCAGGGUUUCUAGUACGAUUCCAGGGGGUUUUUCACAGAGAAAUAAUUGUGACUUGAAGUUGCUCGUCAAUUCAUAUUAUAGUUAAGUACAUAGGUCUGUUUGUUACGCAUUACCCAAAUGGUCAGAUUAUGCUCAGGGGACAUACGCUACUAUGUAGUCAACAAUUAGCUUUACACGUUACAUAUCAUGUGUGCGUUGGCACUUCAGCAUGACUUCAAGUCCUACUUAAUUCUUUUUCUGAAACAUCACACAAGUCUCCUGGAUGGAACUUGAGGAAUAGGCAUGUGUGUGAAUACCCACUGAUGCAAUUUAACAAUGGCUUCAACACCGAGCUGGGUUCACAUAGUAUGUUCCAAUACUUUUGAAUUAACUAAUAAGUGUGGCAUUUAUAUCACUUAUCCACAGGGUUGUCAGAAUGCACGUAAAAUUGUAAUCAAACACUCCCCCAAAUCAAAUGUAACUAGACUUUCAACCAAUCAGAAGCAUGCAUCUGGAACUUGCAUCAAUUUUUAUUUAAAACAUUUUUUUGGGGGGGGGUUAGUUUUGCAUUUAAAAGUGACUCUUAGCGCAAUGGGACCACAGGUUCCAACUAAAGUAAUUCUUUAAUAACCAAUGCAGGAGAGAGUGCCAAUCUUAACUUCAUAUAACACCAAAGAAAUCAAGAUGAUAUUAUGCUAUGUCUACACAAGUAUCAAUUUUAAUCAAAACCUAUAUGUUGUCAACCUUUUGACUACUGCUUUCUUUCUGUCCUAACAAAAUAAAAGGACCAUGCCUGGAGCAGUAUGAUGUAUCUUAUAAGUGAUUAUUUUUCACUUGUAAGUUUGAAAAGUCCUGAAAGCUUGGAAUAAGUGAAAGUCAUUGACAAGACACUAAUGUUAUCAAUGAGAGAUAGAGCUAUAUCAUAGUAUCAUGGUAUUUGAAUACAGACAGGACAUCGUUAUUAUGCUUGAUGACCACAAUCUUCCCAGUUUAUAGGAAAUCUAAGUCAUACAGAACUCAAGUCUCAAAAGUCAAACCAUAUAUUUUUUUAAAUUGAAAUACCUUUAAUCAUUUUGAACACAAGCUCAAGCCCAGCUUCUACACUUUAUUUCAGACUGUAACUUUAAUUGCAGUCUAAUACGCCAACUGACAUGUUCAAUUUUUUUUCUAUAAAGUUCUCUUUUAAAACAAGUUUAUUCUUGACUUCUUGCCUUGAGCUUGCCCACAAAGCAAUGUGCGAUUAAUCAAAACAGAUAGUAUUGUAGGAAUACAGUUUUUUUUAAUAUAUACUUGAACUGGGUGGUAGUCGGAGUGAUUAUUAGGUUAUUAGGUCCUCUUGAAAGAAAUGUAGACUACACUAGAUAAGCGAACCCUUUUUGAUUGAAAUGAAGACUUAAUUAAAUGAUGUUUUAAAGCAUGUGGUUCAGAUGAAUUAUUUACAGAAUACAAAUCUUACAUGUAGUUUGGAUCCCUAGAUAGAUACAGGGCACAGUAUUACAACAAAAAUAAAAUCUAUUUUUGAAAAAUCAUUUUUUUACCAUGUAUAUUAUAUUUUGAAUGGCGCCACCAAUAUAAUUGUAAAUCUCGCUAACCAGAGAAUUACCACAAUUUGAUUUUUUUCUUUAUUUGCAUCUAUUGGAAAGAAUAUGCCAAAAUCUGUGUACUAACAAAAAUUGAUUUCUCUAUUUUAUCUAUAUGUUGAGAUAUAGCAGUUUUACAUCUUGGAAAUAACAUUUUUGUUGUUAUGAACUAGCAAAGAAGUUACAAAUGGUUCACUCAUGCAAAAGAAUUGAAUGGCGAGUAGUCUUAUGAAGUGAUGAAUUAAUGGCUAAUACAGUUUGGAAGACUACAUGUAUGCUCUCUUUUAAUUUCAUGUGCAUCUCUUUAUUAUUUCUUUGCUUAACAACUGUCAAUUGAUUUUAUAAGAUAUCUCUUUUUUAAUACUUGUGAUUAUAAUUGAUGUGGCAUUCCAAACUAUAAUUAUAAUCAAUCCUGUGUGUGAACAAUAUACCGGGAAACAUGUAUUAAACUUGGCAAUAUAUGUUGUAAUACUGAUUGUGUGGAUAUUCAAGAAUGGUGCUAUAAACUUGAACAUCAGAUAAAAUUGCUUUGUAUCAUUACUUCCUAUUUCACUUUAUUUUUAAUUCAAUGGAGAAUCAAUGGAAGCUUAUUCAGUAUUUGUAAUAUAUUUAUAUUAUAGAAAAAUAUAUUCACUAACAUUAGUACAUGCAUUUAAAGGGUUACUAGCACGCACAACAGGCAAUAUAGGAGUAGCUUCACACCUAACAUAUAUAAUCAAUGUAGAUAAAGAAUGCAGAUGUAGAGAUAUUCUUUGAAGAAAACUUAUGGAAAAGCUAGUAAAGAUAUCCAAGAAUGGGCAAGUCAAAGGUACACACACAAAAUUUUUUGGUUCAUUUGCCUUCAGUUGUACUCUCAUAUAGAUUUAUUCAUUCGAAAUUGAAUAAAAACUCUUUGAGUUGAUUAUAUUAACAUGAUUAAGAUGCACCCAGUGCUCUUAAAAAUAAGUUCUAUGCAUGUGCUCAACUCCAACAUAUAUGUGUGUGUAUUGUUUCAUGCUUUAUAUAGCCUACUGUAUACCAUUUUUCUUUAAUUCCUUUUUUUAUUGAGAGCAGGUUUUGAAUUAUCAUUAUUUUAUGAAUUCUAGCUCAAUAGUAAAUAUCACAUCAGGUGGAAAUCAUAUGAAGCAGUAUUAUCUCAGAAACAACAUAAGAGGACAAAAAAAAAUCAGUAUUAUCGUUGAUUAUCAUUUUAGAAGAACACAAUAAAUUUCUGCAUGUGAAUUUUCAACACAUAUAACUGUUCAUAUAAAUGGCCUGGGCCCAAGUAUGUACACGUUGGCAAGCAUUUGCAAAAUAGACCAAUCCUGAUCAUUGUUGAAUACACAUGUAGUGAACAACAAUACAAAGUAUAAACCAAUCAAAAUGAUUGUUCUUGAAGUCAAUUGAAAACCUCCAUAAUACGGACCUUAAACCUUAUCAAGUUUGAUUCAAGGGUUUGAAAAAAGUAGAAAGCCCUUCCUAGUUUAACACUGCCAUGUAUAGGAAAGUAAUUUAAUAUUAUUUCCUAAUGUACAUGUAUUAUUACACUCUGAAAUAAAGGACUUGCCAUACAGAUAUUAUAGGCCAACCCCGAAUGGUGUAAACAAGAUAUCAGAGAACUUUCCUAAAAAAGGGAGAAAAUACAAGAAUCUCUUGUAAUAAAUAUGAUUGUUGUAAAUUGUCUUUAAAAAUGAUAUGAAAACACUACCAAAGAUUCAUAAAUUUGGACUGAAAUGUUUAUGGGAGAUCAAUUUUGGAGUCACUUUGUAAUAUUAGUGGGCUUCCUUUUUUAUUUAAAUUUGUAAUUCGUUCAAUUUUGGUCAAUGUGAAGUAAUCUAGACACAUCAACAUGUAUGUGUUUUUUUCCUUCUGUAAAGUGACUUUAGAAAGUUGACAGAUAAUUGAAUGCUUACUCUAAAUGUGACCUCCCAUUAUGUUGACAUUGAAUAUCAUUGAAUUAAUAUGUUUGCUCAAUAAGUUGGAAUGUGUGGCAUUAUUGUAUAUAGGCCUACGAAAGAGAGAAUCAUUUUAUUGUAUAAAUAAAAUAUAAUAUAUAGAUUUGA